CAUAUCUUGACUCUUCAAAGAUCUGAAGGAAUGUUCAAUGGCUCAAGUUGUCCCAGAAAGGGCAGGAGCAGAAAACAGAAUUCUAACCUGAAGAGAGGCCUUCAUUAAGAGAGAGACAUUCAGUUUCCAGACCAAUCAUUCUUUGGCCUCUGCUGAAUCUGGAUCUGAUCUAAAGCCUGCUGAAGAUGAUGGGAAUCCAGCCUUCCAGUGGCUAUAAAACUAUAUGUGAGCAGCUGGAAACAUUGACUGGACAGAAGAACAAGUCCUAAUGAAUCAAGCAGCUAAAGACAGAAUAUUGCAAUAUCAAGGAUGAUAAUGGUGCCUCUGGAACUCCCCAUCUUCAUGUCUCUUCUAUGAAGCAUUAAACUGGGGAACUAUAUUAAGCACUGAGCCUACAAAGUGCAUGAAGAGCUGUGGAGUGGAGAUGGAACCCUUAUAAUUCAGUGAUCCCAGGCAUUUCCAGAGGAGAACCAGCCACUUGAUGAAAAAUAAGUGACCUGGCUAGAAGGUAACCAAAGAAAUUAUGCCAAAGGUGGGCAAUAAUUUUU